AAAGCAAACCUCUGCUCACAGCAUUCAUGCAAGAAGCCCAACAGACUAAUGUGUCGGCUUCGUGACACCUCCUACCUGACUGAACACAAUUUGGUCCCAGACAUCUUGGCAGCUUCCUUGCUUUAAAAUUACCUUCACUUCUAACUUUUACUGCCUGUACACGACUGAGAACAGAAAGAUUUCAGUACUUCAGAGCAUCAGAGUUUCUGCAACAACUCAGAGACAGAACAAAUGAAGACAACCACCCAGGAACAGAAAAAAAAGAUUUUUUCUUCAAGAAGUACCAUGGAAUAUUUCACCAAAAUUCCUAUUAGGGUACAAGGCAUAAAAAAUAUUCACAUCAUCUCCUGUUAAGAUAAGCAGAAGCUUUAGACUGACACACGGUGACAGCCAACACAUUCAUGGAGGGUGAUGGAUCUCUAAAAGUACGAUAGAGGAGCUGGCACAUUUUCCAGUCCUGGCACAUCAUAUGAGAGGGUUCACUUUUGUAAACAGAGCUCUCCUGCAGCAAAGCUACACGGUGUAUCUUGGACUACUUGGCUAAUGCAAUAAACUAACAAGUAACUACUGGA